CACACGGACGGGCCAGAGGAAGCACGAACAAUACGAAGAUUGCACGAAAGAGCAAAAUAAAACCUGACAGCCGGACUCUGCAGUCUUUAUAUUGGUCCGAAAAGAACCCACAAGGGAAAGUCUUCCACAGAGUAGUUGCCAGAAAAAAAGCGGGACAAAUUAGACCCUGAUGCUGGGAGCUGCAGCAACAGGACAUGCAGCACAUCUAAGAUCUGCCAUAAAGAGAAUAACUCAGGAACAUCACAUAAGGCUUCCCACUCUCGUCGAGACCUCUUUCAUGCUCCUUCAAGCAGGCUGUCAUUAAUGCCACGGGGUUGGCUUCCCCGUACGGCUGCUUGUGGGGAUCGGAGCCAACUCAUCACACCAGGAGAGCUUCAUUAGGGCUGAAGCUGGCUGGACGGAGGACAAGUGAGGCUGCAAAACACGCGCUCGACAAGAGCGUGCAUCGCCGCGACACCUUCGUCCCUCGCCGUCUUGCACGCCGGCUCGUCAGUUAAUUAUGUUCUAGACAAAUUAGGAAUAACUCUGUGUUUUCCUCACGGUAUUCAAAUUUGAUUAGGGACAUUCCUCAAAGCCUUAAAAGAGAAUAAAAAAAAAAAUAACAGCUUUUUUUUAAUUGAUCAAAAGAUUGAAGUACACGUUUAACUUUUACUGGUGAAUACGUGAUAUAUACCAACUUUGUUACCUUUACAAGAACACAUUCUUUAUUUUUAUCUCUCCCAGUGGUAAUUAUGCAUUGUAAACAUUCAAUCUCAGGAUCAGUAAUUGCUAAAACAACAAAAUAGGCAGGAUUAUUGGAGAACUGCACUUUAUUUUGGAAUGUUGCCUUGCAUUCACAAUCAUUAUGUACAA